rnacentral:rRNA from 1 species
CCUACGGGUGGCUGCAGUAAGGAAUAUUGGUCAAUGGACGCAAGUCUGAACCAGCCAUGCCGCGUGAAGGAUGAAGGUCCUCUGGAUUGUAAACUUCUUUUAUGGGGGACGAAAUCUAUAUUUCUAUGUAGUCUGACGGUACCCUAGGAAUAAGCACCGGCUAACUCCGUGCCAGCAGCCGCGGUAAUACGGAGGGUGCAAGCGUUAUCCGGAUUCACUGGGUUUAAAGGGUGCGUAGGAGGGCAGGUAAGUCAGUGGUGAAAUCUCCGGGCUUA